UAUUUAUUGUGGGUGGGCUGUGCUGUUGAUUGUGUUUUGUGGGUGGGCUGCUGGACUAACAAGGGCACUGACCGGCAGGAGGUCAGAUACCCUCUUAGUCUGUUUGGAAAAGGGGAGAGAUGUGACCAGAUCAAUCUCGCCACAUUGCAUUGGAGAAGCCUGGUUGCUCGCCUGCUGCCUCUGGACUAUGGCCCCCUUUUAAAAGACUUUAUUUCGCCUGCAGAAAAGCUGUAUUCGUGCUUUUCUGCCGGUUGUUCGGUGGAUUCAAUCUACCGAACAACCGCCCGAAUGAAUAGAC